CUUGGCAGGGCUCUAUAGGUGACCACUUCCUCUUGGCAGGUCUCUACAGGUGACCACUUCCUCUUGGCAGGUCUCUACAGGUGACCACUUCCUCUUGGCAGGUCUCUACAGGUGACCACUUCCUCUUGGCAGGUCUCUACAGGUGACCACUUCCUCUUGGCAGGUCUCUACAGGUGACCACUUCCUCUUGGCAGGUCUCUACAGGUGACCACUUCCUC